GUGUCUUUUUUUGUUCUUAACUGUGCAGCCAUGCAAUUGGUCUACAGAAUUGUUGAUACGCUCAAGAGAUUUCUGCUGGCCAUUGAGGUAAAGCUGUAACAUUCAAUAUAUGUUAGUCCUGUAGGUGUGGUUUAAAUGCUACUGUUGUUUCCUCUGGUUAUAAAUGCAUUAUACGCAAUGUUACACUGUACAUUCUGCUUUCCUGUCAUUUUUUUUGCAUUCACUUAUACUCCAUUAGCUAAUCGGUGGGAUUCAUUCAAUUGCUUCAUAGGUCAAUGCAUAUGAUGCUGUUCAGAUCGUGGACUCGCUACAUUUGUCAAAGUAUCAUAUAACCACACUUGCAGAAUGCAAUCCUUGCAGCUGCUCAGGUCCAACUUCUCAAGUUGUGGGUAAUGGAGACCCCAAAAAUUUACUGAAAGAGAAGCAUACAAUGCCUAUUAAUUUUCCUGGGCCUAUAAAAAUGCUUGGUGAUGGGCACACGGUGACCAUAAUUAAUGUUCAAAGCAAGUUGAGCUCACCUCAUAUUUACAGCAAAAAUCCUGGGGAUGACGAGAGGCCAUCUACUCCAAUAGAGUACGACUAGGAGAGCAGUUGCUAUCAUGAUUGCGGAGGGCAUAUUUAUCAGCCUAUAUUACCGUGGAUAAAUGGUGAUGGUAGCACUAGCACUGUCUAUGAAGGUUUGAGUCGCCGAGUAAUUGGUUAUGUCAUGCACUAUCCUGGAGUAAUGGAGGAGGAUCUUAUCUAUUGGAUGGAUGUAUUGAAUCCUCAGACUUGCCGGACUCUGUUGGAGAAGUUGACACUCGAUUGGCACCUUCUCGUUUGGGUGUUUGAAGAGCCUGUGCCUGCAGCUCCGACCAUGCUGUGGGCCCUGUUCAAGCAAGACCCCAGUAAAGAACCACCCGGUUGUAGAAACCGCUACUUCGCUAAUCCAAAGAGCACAUCCCAGCUGUAAGAGGGUAUGAACUUAGUUCUAAGUUCACAGACGUGAGCGGGUCAUGGCAGGAAUGCAGGAAUGAUUAAUGUUAGCCUCUGCGGAAGUGUACUAUCCUUGGUGCUUACAAAACUGGGCCAUCGCUUUGUCAUUGUUCAGGUCGUGGUGUCAUUUCCUCCAGUCCAGGGCCGAUGGUAGUCUCGCCGAAAGUGGGAGCGAGGUGCUGGAGCUACGAGACACAUGUCAAGUGUUGAAGCGAGUCAGCAGUAACCGCGUGAUAUUCUGCUGAUGAACA